rnacentral:tRNA from 3 species
AAAAUCCGUCGAUUUUUGAAAUCGUGAGGGUUCAAGUCCCUCUAUCCCCA